rnacentral:rRNA from 1 species
GUGCCAGCCGCCGCGGUAAAACGUAGGAGGCGAGCGUUAUCCGGAUUUACUGGGCGUAAAGCGCACGCAGGCGGCUUGGUGAGUCGGACGUGAAAGCUCCUGGCUUAACUGGGAGAGGUCGUUCGAUACUGCCGGGCUUGAGGUUGGGAGAGGGGUGUGGAAUUCCCGGUGUAGUGGUGGAAUGCGUAGAUAUCGGGAGGAACACCAGUGGCGAAAGCGGCACCCUGGCCCACACCUGACGCUGAGGUGCGAAAGCGUGGGUAGCAAACAGGAUUAGAUACCCUGGUAGUCC